AGGGGUAUAGCUCAAUGGUAGAGUAUAUGUUUAGCAUUUAGCAUUGAAUCCUGGAUUCAAUACCCAGUACCUCCA
rnacentral:tRNA from 1 species